rnacentral:rRNA from 1 species
UACGUAGGGUGCAAGCGUUGUCCGGAAUUAUUGGGCGUAAAGAGCUCGUAGGUGGUUCCGUAAGUCAGGUGUGAAACCUCCAGGCUCAACCUGGAGACGCCACCUGAUACUGCGGUGACUGGAGUCCGGUAGGGGAGCGGUGGAAUUCCUGGUGUAGCGGUGAAAUGCGCAGAUAUCAGGAGGAACACCAGCGGCGAAGGCGGCGCUCUGGGCCGGUACUGACACUGAGGAGCGAAAGCGUGGGUAGCAAACAGG